rnacentral:rRNA from 1 species
GCCUAAGGCGAGGACGAGAGUCGUAGCCGAUGGACAACAGGUGGAGAUUCCUGUACUGCGGUAUGACAGAACUGUGAGGACACGUAAGGAAAGCGGAAGCCGGGAAAAAAGCCCGGUGCAAGCGGGGUACCAGCCACUUAGGCAAAUCCGGGUGGCAAUGGGAAUCCGUGAUGCGGAGCGAAAUAAAGUAGCGAAGUCCGUGAGCCAUGCGUCAAGAAAAGCCGCUAUUGUUUAUACCGUACCCGUACCGUAAACCGACACAGGUGGAUGAGGAGAGAAUCCUAAGGCCGGCGGAAGAAGCAUUGUCAAGGAACUCGGCAAAAUGGCCCCGUAACUUAGGGAUAAGGGGUGCCUGGGAAACCAGGCCGCAGAGAAUAGGCUCAAGCAACUGUUUAGCAAAAACACAGGUCUAUGCGAAACCGAAAGGUGAGGUAUAUGGGCUGACGCCUGCCCGGUGCUGGAAGGUUAAGAGGAGAGGUUAGCGCAAGCGAAGCUUUGAAUUUAAGCCCCAGUAAACGGCGGCCGUAACUAUAACGGUCCUAAGGUAGCGAAAUUCCUUGUCGGGUAAGUUCCGACCCGCACGAAAGGCGUAAUGAUUUGAGCGCUGUCUCGACAAUGCAUCCGGUGAAAUUGAAGUACCAGUGAAGAUGCUGGUUACCUGCGCCAGGACGGAAAGACCCCAUGGAGCUUUACUCCAGUCUGGUACUGGGACUCGGUAUUGCAUGUACAGGAUAGGUGGGAGGCUGUGAAUCAGUAACGCCAGUUGCUGAGGAGCCGCUGUUGGGAUACCACCCUUGCAGUAUUGGGUUUCUAACCAGCCGCCGUGACCCGGCGGUGGGACAAUGCCAGACGGGGAGUUUGACUGGGGCGGUCGCCUCCGAAAGGGUAUCGGAGGCGCCCAAAGGUUCCCUCAGAACGGACGGAAACCAUUCGAAGAGUGCAAAGGCAGAAGGGAGCUUGACUGCGACACCGACGGGUGGAGCAGGUACGAAAGUAGGGCUUAGUGAUCCGGUGGUAUUAAGUGGGAAUGCCAUCGCUCAACGGAUAAAAGCUACCCUGGGGAUAACAGGCUUAUCACUCCCAAGAGUUCACAUCGACGGAGUGGUUUGGCACCUUGAUGUCGGCUCAUCGCAUCCUGGGGCUGUAGUAGGUCCCAAGGGUUGGGCUGUUCGCCCAUUAAAGCGGUACGCGAGCUGGUUUCAGAACGUCGUGAGACAGUUCGGUCCCUAUCCGGCGUGGGCGUAGGAUAUCUGAGAGGAGCUGUCCUUAGUACGAGAGGACCGGGAUGGACGGGCCGCUGGUGCAUCGGUUAGACUGCCAAGUCUACGGCCGAGUAGCCAAGCCCGGAAGGGAUAAACGCUGAAGGCAUCUAAGC